GGAAGUGUGCCCGAAUUACUAAAGACUACUUUGAUAGAGUACGACACAGGGGUUCAAAUCCCCUCACUUCC
rnacentral:tRNA from 1 species